rnacentral:rRNA from 1 species
CGCGCAGGCGGUCACGCAGGUCAUCUGUGAAAGCACUCGGCUCAACCGGGAUGUUGCGGGUGAAACCGCGUGACUUGAGGGUGGGAGAGGUCGGUGGAAUUCCCGGUGUAGUGGUGAAAUGCGUAGAGAUCGGGAGGAACACCCGUAGCGAAGGCGGCCGACUGGACCAUUCCUGACGCUGAGGCGCGAAGGCCAGGGGAGCGAACG